CAACUACUCCCUCUGUCCCAAAUUUCUUGUCUUAGAUUUGUCUAGAUACGGAUGUAUACUAAAAUAUGACUUGACACAUCCGUAUAUAGACAAAUCUAAGACAAGAAUUUUGGGACGGAGGGAGUACUUU
rfam:Triticum aestivum genome assembly, contig: Triticum_aestivum_CS42_TGACv1_scaffold_404171_5BL